UGCAUGUCUCAGUGCAAGCCAAACUAAAGUGAAACCGCAAAUGGCUCAUUAAAUCAGUUAUAAUUUAUUUGAUUAUCCAUUAUAUUACUUGGAUAACUGUGGCAAUUCUAGAGCUAAUACAUGCAAACAGAAUUUUUGCCUUUAUUGGCAAAAAUGCUUUUAUUAGAUCAAAACCAAUUCGUUUGUAUUCGUACGGCGAUUACACUGGUGACUCUGAAUAACUUUUUGAUGAUCGCAUGGUCUUUGUGCCAGCGACAACUCUUUCAAAUGUCUGACUUAUCAACUGUCGUUGGUAGCUUUUACGCUUACCAUGGUUGUAACGGGUAACGGGGAAUCAGGGUUUGAUUCCGGAGAGGGAGCCUGAGAAACAGCUACCACAUCCAAGGAAGGCAGCAGGCGCGCAAAUUACCCACUUCCAGUACGGAGAGGUAGUGACGAAAAAUAACGAUACGGGACUCAUCCGAGGCCCCGUAAUCGGAAUGAGAACACUUUAAAUACUUUAACAAGUAUCCAUUGGAGGGCAAGUCUGGUGCCAGCAGCUGCGGUAACUCCAGCUCCAAUAGCGUAUAUUAAAGUUGUUGCGGUUAAAAAGCUCGUAGUUGAGAUUGUGUUUCGCACUGUUGGUGCACCAGUAUUGGUGUUUACUUACAUGUUGCGAAACGUC
rnacentral:rRNA from 1 species